UACGGAGGGUGCAAGCGUUAUCCAGAUUCACUGGGUUUAAAGGGUGCGUAGGUGGGCAGGUAAGUCAGUGGUGAAAUCUCCGGGCUUAACCCGGAAACUGCCGUUGAUACUAUUUGUCUUGAAUAUUGUGGAGGUAAGCGGAAUAUGUCAUGUAGCGGUGAAAUGCUUAGAUAUGACAUAGAACACCAAUUGCGAAGGCAGCUUACUACACAAUGAUUGACACUGAGGCACGAAAGCGUGGGGAUCAAACAGG
rnacentral:rRNA from 1 species